rnacentral:pre_miRNA from 1 species
CUUACAGAGAUCUUUGGCAUUCUGUCCACCUCCUCUCUAUUAUACAUGUGUAUAAGUAUACGUAUCUGCGUUUGUGUUUGUGAGUGGAGGUGGGCAUACUGCCAGUAGAGAUCUGUUAG